CACGUAGGCGGAUAUUUAAGUCAGGGGUGAAAUCCCAGAGCUCAACUCUGGAACUGCCUUUGAUACUGGGUAUCCUGAGUAUGGAAGAGGUAAGUGGAAUUCCGAGUGUAGAGGUGAAAUUCGUAGAUAUUCGGAGGAACACCAGUGGCGAAGGCGGCUUACUGGUCCAUUACUGACGCUGAGGUGCGAAAGCGUGGGGAGCAAACA
rnacentral:rRNA from 1 species